rnacentral:rRNA from 1 species
GACGAACGCUGGCGGCGUGCUUAACACAUGCAAGUCGAGCGAUGAAGCACCUUCGGGUGUGAAUUAGCGGCGAACGGGUGAGGAACACGUGAGAAAUCUGCCUUCAACACUGGGAUAACUCCGGGAAACCGGGGCUAAUACCGGAUAUGAAACCUGCGGGCAUCCGCGGGUUUGGAAAGUUUUUCGGUUGAAGAUGAUCUCGCGGCCUAUCAGCUUGUUGGUGAGGUAAUGGCUCACCAAGGCGACGACGGGUAGCCGGCCUGAGAGGGCGACCGGCCACACUGGGACUGAGACACGGCCCAGACUCCUACGGGAGGCAGCAGUGGGGAAUAUUGGGCAAUGGAGGAAACUCUGACCCAGCGACGCCGCGUGCGGGAUGAAGGCCUUCGGUUGUAACCGCUUUCAGCAGGGAAGAAGCGAAAGUGACGGUACCUGCAGAAGAAGCACCGGCUAACUAUGUG